AUGAGGCAAUAUUGGUGGGGGGUGGAAAACGGCAAAAGGAAGAUGGCCUGGCUAAGUUGGGAGAGGAUGAUGUUACCCAAAGCAAUGGGGGGCAUGGGAUUCCGAGACAUGAGGGCUUUUAAUCAAGCUCUGCUUGCCAAGCAGGCUUGGCGCCUAUUGGAUAGCCCAGAGAGCCUAUGUGCGAGAUUAUUGAAGGCUAAAUACUACCCGAGGGGAAAUUUGCUUGACACUGUUUUCUCGUCUAAUAGUUCGGCGGUCUGGAAGGGUAUUGUUCAUGGACUUGAU
rnacentral:rRNA from 1 species